rnacentral:misc_RNA from 1 species
GAUGAAGAAAGUAGCGAAAUGCGAUACGUAAUGUGAAUUGCAAAUUCAGUGAAUCAUCGAGUCUUUGAACGCACAUUGCGCCCCCUGGUAUUCCGGGGGGCAUGCCUGUCCGAGCGUCAUUGCUGCCCUCAAGCACGGCUUGUGUGUUGGGCCCCGUCCUCCGAUCCCGGGGGACGGGCCCGAAAGGCAGCGGCGGCACCGCGUCCGGUCCUCGAGCGUAUGGGGCUUUGUCACCCGCUCUGUAGGCCCGGCCGGCGCUUGCCGAUCAACCCAAAUUUUUUAUCCAGGUUGACCUCGGAUCAGGUAGGGAUACCCGCUGAACUUAAGCAUAUCAAUAAGCGGAGGA